GCGGCCUAUCAGCUUGUUGGUGAGGUAAUGGCUCACCAAGGCAACGACGGGUAGCCGGCCUGAGAGGGCGACCGGCCACACUGGGACUGAGACACGGCCCAGACUCCUACGGGAGGCAGCAGUGGGGAAUAUUGGGCAAUGGAGGAAACUCUGACCCAGCGACGCCGCGUGCGGGAUGAAGGCCUUCGGGUUGUAAACCGCUUUCAGUAGGGAAGAAGCGAAAGUGACGGUACCUACAAAAGAAGCACCGGCUAACUAUGUGCCAGCAGCCGCGGUAAUACAUAGGGUGCAAGCGUUGUCCGGAAUUAUUGGGCGUAAAGGGCUCGUAGGUCGUUUGUCGCGUCGAUUGUGAAAAUCUGAGGCUCAACCUCGGACCUGCAGUCGAUACGGGCAAACUAGAGUGUGGUAGGGGAGACUGGAAUUCCU
rnacentral:rRNA from 1 species